AUACUCUGGUUUCUCUUCAGAUCUACUAAAGCUUUCGCCUUUACUAAAGUUUCCUGUGGAGAGGAUCAUUCAUGAGUUUUCAAACCUUUUUUGGAGGCUCUGCUGCUUGCAGGGCU